GUCCCUCAACACGUGGCUGUCAAUGCGUUUCUUUGCUAAAAUAGUCUCAGAUAUUCUUAUGCAAGGGUAUGGCACAGAAACGCCUAUUUGUGACAAUCUUGUUGGUUGCUUCUCCGGAAUUAUUUCAUUUUCAGAAGCAGAAAUUAUCGUCGGCUGUCUUUAAAUCUUUGAACAUCAGAAAGUUUGUGGGUAUGCAGGAACCUAUAUGGACCCACAGUACUACCGCCAGUUUUUUUGUUCGUUGUAAAGUGGAUGUACGGAAGACCAUAACUAACACAUCAAUUUCAUUCAGAAGGACAUAUUAUACUGACGAGGAAAGGCAUUGGACCGCUAAGAACCUUGAGGGAAUCUUUCUACAGAAACAGAAGGAUCUCAUGCAGAUCAGGCCUCCAGGCGAGAGGUUCACCGCAAAGGAAACUAUUGUCUACAUAGGUCCCAAUUAUCACUGCGCUCUCAUCAAGGUGACACCAGUUGCU
rnacentral:lncRNA from 1 species